rnacentral:misc_RNA from 1 species
GAUGAAGAACGUAGCGAAAUGCGAUACUUGGUGUGAAUUGCAGAAUCCCGUGAACCAUCGAGUCUUUGAACGCAAGUUGCGCCCGAAGCCAUUAGGCCGAGGGCACGCCUGCCUGGGCGUCACACGUCGUUGCCCCCCCCAUCUACUCCUUCGGGAUUGCGGGAGGCGGAUGAUGGCCUCCCGUGCGCCUCGCCGCGCGGUUGGCAUAAAUGCCAAGUCCUCGGCGACGCACGCCACGACAAUCGGUGGUUGCGAAACCUCGGUUGCCCGUCGUGUGCGGUCGUCGCGCAUCGAGGGCUCGAAAAAAUUGCCGGGUUUUGGCUCGGCUUUCAACGCGACCCCAGGUCAGGCGGGGUUACCCGCUGAAUUUAAGCAUAUCAAUAAGCGGAGGA